CUACGGGGCGCAGCAGUGAGGAAUAUUGCACAAUGGGGGGAACCCUGAUGCAGCAACGCCGCGUGGAGGAUGACGCAUUUCGGUGUGUAAACUCCUUUUAUAUGUCAAGAAAAUGACGGUAGCAUAUGAAUAAGCACCGGCUAACUCCGUGCCAGCAGCCGCGGUAAUACGGAGGGUGCAAGCGUUACUCGGAAUCACUGGGCGUAAAGGACGCGUAGGCGGGUUGGAAAGUCAGGUGUGAAAUCCUACAGCUUAACGUGAGAACUGCACUUGAAACUUCUAAUCUAGAGUAUGGGAGGGGGAGAUGGAAUUAGUGGUGUAGGGGUAAAAUCCGUAGAUAUCACUAGGAAUACCUAAAGCGAAGGCGAUCUCCUGGAACAUUACUGACGCUAAGGCGUGAAAGCGUGGGGAGCAAAUAGGAUUAGAUACCCGCGUAGUC
rnacentral:rRNA from 1 species